GAUGAACGCUAGCGGCAGGCCUAAUACAUGCAAGUCGAACGGGAUCCAGAUCAAAGCUUGCUUUGGUCUGGUGAGAGUGGCGCACGGGUGCGUAACGCGUGAGCAACCUACCCUUGUCAGGGGGAUAGCCCGGCGAAAGUCGGAUUAAUACCGCAUGACAUCAUUGAGAGGCAUCUUUCGAUGAUCAAAGAUUUAUCGGACAAGGAUGGGCUCGCGUGACAUUAGCUAGUUGGUAAGGUAACGGCUUACCAAGGCUGCGAUGUCUAGGGGCUCUGAGAGGAGAAUCCCCCACACUUGUACUGAGACACGGACCAGACUCCUACGGGAGGCAGCAGUAAGGAAUAUUGGUCAAUGGACGGAAGUCUGAACCAGCCAUGCCGCGUGCAGGAGGACGGCCCUAUGGGUUGUAAACUGCUUUUAUACGGGAACAAACGUCGGUACGUGUACCGGUCUGAGUGUACCGUAAGAAUAAGGAUCGGCUAACUCCGUG
rnacentral:rRNA from 1 species